UACGUAGGGGGCAAGCGUUGUCCGGAUUUAUUGGGCGUAAAGAGCGUGUAGGCGGCCUGAAAGGUCAGCUGUGAAAACUCGAGGCUCAACCUCGAGACGUCGGUGGAAACCAUCUGGCUAGAGUCCGGAAGAGGAGAGUGGAAUUCCCGGUGUAGCGGUGAAAUGCGCAGAUAUCGGGAAGAACACCCGUGGCGAAGGCGGCUCUCUGGGACGGUACUGACGCUGAGACGCGAAAGCGUGGGGAGCGAACAGG
rnacentral:rRNA from 1 species